AUCCUACGGGACGCAGCAGUGAGGAAUAUUGGUCAAUGGGCUUACGCCUGAACCAGCCAAGUCGCGUGAGGGAAGACUGCCCUAUGGGUUGUAAACCUCUUUUGUCAGGGAGCAACGCCGGCUACGUGUAGCCGGACUGAGAGUACCUGAAGAAAAAGCAUCGGCUAACUCCGUGCCAGCAGCCGCGGUAAUACGGAGGAUGCGAGCGUUAUCCGGAUUUAUUGGGUUUAAAGGGUGCGUAGGCGGAAUGCCAAGUCGGCGGUAAAAUACGGGGGCUCAACCUCCGCCCGCCGUUGAAACUGACG
rnacentral:rRNA from 1 species